GGCUUGGAUGUAGGCUGGCUAGUAGGAUGCUUUGCGAGAACACACAAAGCUGUGGGUUCGAUCCCUAGCACCGUGCUGUUCCAUGCUUAUAAGGCUAGCUCUUGGGAGGUGGAGGCAGGAAGGUCGGGAGUUCAAGACCAACCUGGACUACAUGAGACUGUGUCUGGGAGAGGAGGUGCUGGGGAGACUGGUUAUGCUUUUAUCUGUCACCUUACCAGAAGGAAUUAAUGGGGGUGGGGUGCAUCACCUACAUUUCUCAUGGUGUGGACAGGGUGCCCCUGUCAGGCUGGGUUCUAUGUUUUGUGAAUUACUACAGACAUGUGAAGAUUAUUGUGAUCCCCAUUUACAGAUCAGAAAACUGGGGUUUCCUGAUGUUAGGUAACUUACCCAAUGCCACACAUCAUGGGGUAGAGAGUUGACAGUACUGGAAUUCGAAGCUGGGUGCCUGAAUCAGGAACAGACACCUUAACCACACUACUACAACAUCUCUAAGAGGUGUCACUUGCCCAAAAGACUCAGCCAACACUGCAUUUGAUUAGACCCAGUCAGCAACUGCGAUGCCUUUGUGAAUCUGGAUCGUGAGAACGGAGCUGUCAAAUCUGGGGUCAUGCAGAAUACUGCUGUGAACGAAGAACAAGCCUCCUAACUCCACCAAGACCCUUGGGAAAGGUCGGUCUCCUAUCAAAUGAGCCCCCCCAUCUUCUGUCACAGCGUGUUUUCUUGCCCUGUGAAGUCAAGUGCUCCUGGCAGCCGAAGGGAGGCUGACAGAAUGAUGCAGUCCCCUUUCAAGCUGGUUCCCCGAGUCUGGCAUGUAGGCAGGUGAGUCAUUGAUUUCCCCUCUCUCCUCCACAGAGCACUGCCACAGGUACAUGGAUUAAAGGCAAGGAAGAAAGACUGAAUUGAAUGGUCCAGGUUGAAAGGAAACUUUUGAAACAGGUUUGAAGACUCCAGUCGGGGGUGGGUUUGGAGUGUGAAAUGCCAGCUACCAGCUCCAGCUGCCUGGCCUUGUUUAGAUGAGGUUGCAGGGAGGGAGAAGUCACAUAAUUACCAUGCCUCUCCGAAGCUGAGAGGAAGGAAGCCGCUUUCUUGUGUCUUUCUUUGGUUUUUGGCUGCCUGUGUGUGCUGUUCCGCAAGUGUGACUUUGAGCUCGCGUUUCCUAAAAAGUGAUUACGGUUUUGCUUCAGUGUCAAAAUCCACAGAUGCUGGGGCUCGGGAUUUCUGAGGAACUGCCUCAACCUCAGGGGAGUCGAUUGAGAAGCCCAGCAGAGGUGGAGCUAUCUGACAUUGAUGCAGGACAAACCUUGUCCUGCUCUGAGACCCUGUGGAACAGUCUGGGGAAUUUGUCUCCAGUAGAGGCCAGUGGAGACGAGAGAGUCUUCUGGGGAGUGGUUUAUCUUAGGAAAAAAGAAAGCAGAGGGAAGUGUUUGAGACUGCCAAACAAGGAACUUGAGUGUAUAGCCACAAGUGCUCCACGGGUGUCUGUCCUGGGCCUGGAGACAUGUUAAAUUGUGUGACAAACGGAAUCCAUUUUAACCGCUUUUGACAGCAACUUUGAGAAGCAAUCCUAGCAAAAGAAAAGAAGUGAGCUCUCUAUGUUCCUCCUUCCAGACCAAAGGACUCAAGGUUUGGUUUUUGAAAGGGGUCAAGGCAGGAAAGAUGGCCCAGUAAGGGCACUUACCAUCUAAGACUGACAGAGCUGAAUUCCAUCCCCAGAACCCACUGUCAGGGAAGAACUGACUCCUGAAAAGGUGACCACCAUGUACACACACACACACACACACACACACAGACACACACACACACACACAGACACACACACAGACACACACACUAUGAUGAUAAAGUAAUUUAAAAAUAAAUGACCAAAAGGGAGAAGAGAAGAUAAUUAUUUAAUAUCCUUUCUCUUCUCUCUCUCUCUCUCUCUCUCUCUCUCUCUCUCUCAACAUUACUGGACAAGGUUGAGAGGGAGGGAAUCCUGGGUAUCACGUACACCAACUAGGCAAGUGCUUUACCACUCAGCCAUAGCCCUGGCUCUCUCUUCACUUUUUAUUAUGGGGCAGGUGCUUGCUAAGCUACCCGGGCUGGCCUUGAACUCUCUACAAUGGCAAAGUUGGCCUUAAUCUUGUAGUUCUCUUGCUUUUGCCUUCCCAGCAGAUGGCGUUAUGUAAAGAAGAUUCUGAGUGCUGGUACCAGCCUUCCAGAAGUCCCAUGGGAUCCUGGAACAACAGACCUUCCAGGGGCCAUAAAAGUCACACACACACACACACACACACACACUAGCAGGAAGCCUAUUGACACAUACCUCUCGAAUGCUCACAUGUGUCUACAGGAGCACAUGCAUGGACAUGUGGAAGUCAGAGGCCACUAUCUUUUGUCUUCCUCAAUUAGUCUUCACCCUCAGCUUUGAGACUAGACCCGAGGAAGUCCAUUGAUAGAACCAGAAAAUGGUCGCUGAGCUUCUGAAGAUCCGGUUGUCUCUGUUCCCCACCUGUCCCCCAGCACUGGGGUACCCUAUGGAGGGGUCACCACUACGUUGUCCUUCUACAUAAAACUCAUCUGGAGCUAUUCAUGACUCACUUAGAAGUGUUUGGGAAAUAAAUGGGCUGGUUUAGAGGUAAAGGACAUGACUCUCUUGUUCUGAAGAGUUCAAGGGCAGUCGAUAGUCCAGACAUGAUCAGUGUGAAGUUGCUUCACAAGGCAAGGUCACUGGCCCAUUAAGAUAUUCAAGAUGUCAAGGCUAAGUCAAACAGGUUCAUGGGCCAGUGUCAAUGGACCAUACUCUGAAUGCCCUGGUCUAGAGUAGGCAAUCCCAGUAGGCUUAAUUAUUAUUUUUAGUGUCGCUUAUAUUAGAAAAAGGAUGCUUGAUGUUAUUGAGAUGGAGGUGGUUGAAAGUGGUAGUGAGCAGAGCAGGUAAUCAUGACUCAACUCAUCAAUGACUUGGGAUGUGACCAAGUUAUUGCAGUAAAAGUGCCCACAUGUUCAUGAGCUACAGACUGGUGUCACCUCGAAAGCUGUGGCAAUUGUGAUUUAUGAUACUGCUUGUGGGUUGUAACUUUGACAGUGGUAGCUCAUUUUAAUUUGCUCAUGAAUAACUUUCCAGGAAGAAAGACAGGAAACUAGAGAGGAAGAAAUUGUGAGCAAGAAUAACAUCACACAUAUUAGCAUAUUUGAAAAUGAGCUGGUUUCCUCAGUUUUAGUCAUUUGUGGUUUGUUUUGCUGUGUUAGUAAUUGGACCUAGGGUCUUGUGCAUGCUAGGCAAGAACUCUACCACUGAGCUACGUUUCUAAUUCCUUUUGUAUUUUUAUUUUUGGACAGGGUCUUGCUAAGUUUUUCAGGUAGACACUGAGCUUCUUUGCUUCUAUCUCUUGAAUAACUGGGAUUAAAGGUUUAUAUGAUGAGUUGAGUGUCAGCCUGGGCUAUAGAGUAAGACCUUUUUCACACACACACACACACACACACACACACACACACACACACACACACACACUAGCAGGAAGCCUAUUGACACAUACCUUUAAUUUGUUAUCUUGUAAUCCCCAUGCUACAGAGGUGGAGACAGUAUGUCCCUGGGACUAACCGGCCUGCCAAGCCAGCCCACUUGGAAAACCAACUAUAAACUAAGGGUAUCUACUGAUGGCUUCAGGGCCUUGGUCAUCAUAAGCCUGGAGACGCAGAGAGCAGAAGACAACUAUGCAAGACUGGCUGUGCUGUUCUGUGGUGAGAGCCACUGCAGAGGAGAAGAGCACAGUUUCCCACCACACCCUCUCCUGCCCCCUCCCCCGCCCCCCCCUCCCGGCCUUGACUGCUCCACUUCCCAGCUGUGCUCACUAAAGGUUCCCCACAUUGGCAAGUCAAACACCCUCACUCAGUUCCUCCAAGCUGAUGACCCUGGAGGUAGGCGGACCAAUGGACCACCUGUCCUCUGUCUCAUCAGGGGAGAGGGCGUCAGGAGGGAAAAGGGCAUCUUCUCAGGCUUGGGUCUGGCACAGCUUGGAUCCAAGUGAGUCACUGUGCUAAGUCCUCCCUUUGAGGUAAUUCCAAGCAAAUUCAACCUCUCUUGGCCAGCUAGGGGUUUAUUUGGUUCCAUGGGCAUGUAGGGGUGGAGGGAGAUAUGGGAGACUGUGGCUGAGGACACCUGCUUUUUGGGUGGAUUUCCCCACACUCCAUACCCUUUCUUUCUGUGCCCCUCCAAAGAGAAAGACCUGCUGGGGCCUUGCCCCCAGCUCUGCUACAGAGCCCAAGGAGAGGAAGGGAGGGGCCCCUCUGGCACUAGGCCUGUAGCCUAUCCGUCUCAGGCCAUCCUCAGGCAAGGCAAGGGCUCCCCCCCCCUCAGCUGUUGCCAUGGCAGGGCACUAUGCCCUGGGGAUCCAAAGGGACAGACACUGGUGGCCAGAGCCAGCAGGGUCAGUGCAGGGCUGGGAGAAUGCCAUAUGCCAGGACUUGAGGCUCGGGCUGAAUCAGCCAGCAAGUCGCCCAUCCAUCGAGAGUGAGAACCUUCCGGCUCCUUGUUGAAGCAGCUGGGGGGCAGGGGCAUUCUGUGCUUUGUGGAGAGACAGCCUGUGUCUUUCAUCUCUUCCCUGGCCCUCUGGCCUCCAACAGAGUCCUGACUAUGCCUGGCUCAGGCUCACCACAUGUCUAGAAUCGGGGCUACGUGAGAGUCAUGCCGAUGGGGCCCCGGGGUCGCAGAAUUGAGACCCCAGUGGUCCAUCUGCCCCAGACCCUUCCCAGACCCAGCAUCCAACUCCCACAAGCAAAACUCAAGCUUGACAAAUUCCCACACCACUAGCAACCCAACCCAUCCGAAUUCCAAACACUCACUGUAAUCUCCCCACCCUGAUAUUCUGUGUAGGAAUCUGAUAAAACAAAAACUCAGUCACUCCCACAAACAAUGUGGCCUGCUGCACCAUCCAUCCAGGAUAACACAUCAAAGCGCCAAGGACAGAGCCAUAAACAUCAGUCUUUAGAACCCCCGGGAGCUUUACAACACCCCCCCCAUCUCUGCCCCACCCCUUAGGAACGUGUGCAGGCCAAGUGUGGUUUGCAAACUCUGGGAUGUCUUUCAGGACAAGUGUCAUUACUUUCUGAGAAAGUCGGCCUGGGAAAAGUUCAAGGGGAAACAAGCUUGUCAAAGUCAAUUUUUAAAUGCUUGCUUGUCACUGGGAUUCAGCGUUUCAUUUUUCCUGCCUUGUAACUUAAGUUCCUGCUAGAUGGGAGGCUGCCUAACUCAUGGGCAACUUGGGGCUCCAGGCAGCUUCCUUUUAGCGAUGCUUUGGAUUCAUUUACUCAUUCAGCAUUUACAGACCAGGUUUCUUUCCUCGUAAACACAGAGAGACACCCAGGAGAGUUCAAGGCUAUUCUGUUCUGCAGGAAUGGAAUAUACCACACCUCAAGGUUUUGAUCACUUUGAUCGCUCUAUUAUCCUAUCAGGUUCACUGGCGACUCAAAGGGAUCCAUGAAAACAUGGAUUGAUCUGGAUUGUAGGCCCGCUUAGCCAUUUAUCAGCUUUGGGGGCCUUGCUUUCCUCUUGGGCUUUGGGGCUGGGAAGAGAGCUUAGUGGGCAGAGCUUUUGCUGGACCCAGGGCCUGGAUUUGGAUCCUCAGAACCUGUAUAAAGCCAGAUACAGAUCCAUCUGCAAUCCUAACACUUCUGCAGUUAGCUGACAGGUGGAGACAGGAGAACCCUGGCAGCUUGUGAGCCAUCUAGCCUGGAGCAUGCAGUGAUGAGCUAGAGACCCUGUCUCAAGGUAGAAGACAAGAACUGACUCCCAAGACUGAGUUCCACUCAUGGGUCAUGGCACAUACACAAAGGUUUUCUUUAAAAAAAAAGUUUGUUUGAGGAUGAAAAUAUUUAGAAAGGAAACGCCAUUGAACCUUUAGUAUGGACAGGCAUGAAACUUAGCAUGGACUAUGCCUCUUCAUGCACGUGGAGAUCAGAGCACAGGCUGUGGGAGUCGCUUCUGCCCUCUCAUGAGUUCCUGGGAUCAAACUGAGGUCGGCAAGUUUAACACUACGUUUUCUGCCCAGGUAAGGCAUCUCCCUGGCCCAGCUUUUCUUAGUCUUCUCAACUCUACUGUCAUGGAGGCGUUAUUGUUUGAAUUUUACAAAAUGAAAGGAAGGUCAGAGAAGCUGUGUAAGUUAUGUAAGGUCACAUAGCCAUCCAGUGGUGCAGUUGAGAUUUGAACUUGGAUCAACAUUUAGAAUAUAAAAAAGGCAAAUAAUCCUUGCCCAGUUGGACACAGUAGCCCCGUGAGGACAAAUAGAACAUUCCCACCAUCACAGAUGGUUCUACUGGACAGUGUUGACAAGACACUCAUUGUAAAAUGUAUUUAGCAAUGGAAUUACCUUUUUUCCUCAUAAAAUCAUACACAAAAUUUAACUGUGUUGAAAAUGAACAAAUGAGCUACUUUCAACUGAAUUUCCUUUCUAAAGUCAAAUUAAUAACUUUUGCUAAUUACCCAAUUAAUGGAAAGCAUAUUUUUGUGUAUGUGUGUCUAUGGUGGUGUGUGUACACAUGUCAGGGGUGGUGUGCUUGUACAUAUGCGCAUAUGUAUUUGGAUGCAGGAGUUGACAUUGACGUCUUCCUCAAUCACUAUCCAUUUAUGUUUGACGGUCCCUCACUGAACCUGGAGCUGACUGAUUGGCUAGACUGGUCAACAAGCCCUGGAAUCCUCCUGUCUCUGCCUUUCCAGUGCUGGGAUUACAGGCACAUCCCAAAGCUUUUCAUGGGUGCUGGGGAUCCGAACUCAGGUCCUUAUGCUUGUAUAGCGAGCUCUUUACCAACUGAGCUCUCCCCACAGUCCCUCAAAACAUAUAUGUUAAUUUCCAUGCUGCUUGCUUUCAAAUGUUUGCAUUAUAUAGCAUUUCAUAGGCAUGCAAGAAAGCUUAAGCUGUAAUUACAUAAAGUCUCAUGAGUAAUGAUGAUGUUGACAUCCACCUAACCACAGCCAAGUGAAGAAACCCAGCAUUGUCAGGAGUUGAAGCAAGAUCUCUCCUUCCUCACACAGUCUGCCCUUUUCCAGUGUCAUCUACAUCCAUCUUUUGGAGUUGAUCAUUGGAAGGCUAAUUCAAUUGAUGACGACAGCAAUCCAAUUCAAGGUUAUCGAUUCAAACAGCACAUUACAGCUCAUGAUUUACAAAGUUUCUAUAUUUGUAAUUUUGUUUAAAAGAAGUAAGAGAGCAAUUGUAUUGCAUGACACAAGAAAAAUUAUAUGAAAUUUAAAUUCCAGGGUCUGCAAAUAAUGUAUAGUUAGUACAAAACCAUGGCUGUCUCUUAUGUGUGUCCAUAGCUGCUUUUGUAUGAUGGGCAGAGCCAUGUAACUGCCACGCAGAUGGCAUGCGUCUUUCCCCAAGCCAAAAAUAAUUCAUUGUCUGCCUACUUCUGGUCUAGAUAAUAAUUCAUUCCCACACAAGCCUCCACAUCUAAUGUGUAAAUUAUUUCUACAUUUUCACCUUGAUUGUGUAAUAACAAGCAACCUCUGAUUCACACAUACAAGAUUUUGACGCUGUGGGUUUUUUUGUUUUGAUUUUUUUAAUUCCCAUGCAUCUUGCCUUACAACCUUAGGAUAUACUAUAAUUAAGCUGAUCUGAAGACUUGAAAUGGAAGGUUUGAGAAUCCAUUUCCAAGUUCAGGCAUACAUGAUAUCUAACUUUGCCUUGCAAUUUGUGAUCGCAUUUGUAGAAGUAAAAUAUUCUUAAUAAAAUAAUUAAUAAUUAUUAAAUUAGGGGGGGAAAUCUCCCGUACAAUAUAUCGGGUCAUAGUAUGUGAUAAGCUUCCCUGUUAUGGUGCUAUAAGCUGAGGAGAGAGAGAGAGAGAGAGAGAGAGAGAGAGAGAGAGAGAGAGAGAGACAGAGACAGAGACAGAGAGACAGAGACAGACAGAGACAGAGACAGAGACAGACAGAGAGAGAAAGAGAGAUCAGCACACACCAAUGGCUAUGCUAUCCUCCUAGGACCUUCUUAAGUGGCUCCUAAACCCUAAACUCAGGCACCACCAUUUCCUAGUCCGCCUCCUCAGUGUCCAGCCUCUGCUGUGGGAUGUCUUUCUGUAUGCUGUGAAUAUGUGUUGUUCUGAUUGGUUGAUAAAUAAAGCUGCAUUGGCCUAUGGGAGGGCAGGAUAAGGUUAGGCAGUACAUUCAGACUGAAGAUGAGACGAAGAAGGGUGGAGUUAGGGGAGAAGCCAGUCCGCCACCCAAGGAGCAACAAGAUACCCACAGACCAGUAACACCACAGCCAUGUGGCAACAUAUAGAUUGAUAGAAAUGCAUUGAGUUAAGUUAUAAGAGCUAGUUAGCAAGAAACCUGACCCAUAGGACAUACAGUUUGUAAGUAAUAUAAGCCUCUGUGUGUUUAUUUGGGACCAAGCAACUCCCAGAUGUUGGUUGGACAAGACCAGAGAAACUUCCGGCUACAAGCACCAGGUUCCAAUAGACCCCACUUUCCCUGACUUCUUACGAUUUUUUCCCCCAGGCAGAUUCGAGAGUCUGGCCCAGCCCUUCCAUCUCUCUGUACGUUGAUUCUGGAAUCUUCUUCCCAGAACCAGGCAAGCAUUUCCAGCUGGUCCCUUGAAAGAAGGGCUUCUAGUCUGUCCCACUACAAAACUCUCCGACCUUGGACUCUUUGGAAGCAAGGAAGCCAGAGGCAUUUCAUACCCUUGUGCUACCCUCACUGUUCUGACCCCAA